GCCUCGGUGGAUCAAUCAGCAGAUCAUCCCUAUUUCGUUAUUUGACUUCGAAUUGCAUAACCGGGAAGGCGGGGGUUCGAAUCCUCCUCAAGGCA